rnacentral:rRNA from 1 species
ACGAACGCUGGCGGCGUGCUUAACACAUGCAAGUCGCACGGAAAGGCCCUGCUUUUGUGGGGUGCUCGAGUGGCGAACGGGUGAGUAACACGUGAGUAACCUGCCCUUGACUUUGGGAUAACUUCAGGAAACUGGGGCUAAUACCGGAUAGGAGCUCCUGCUGCAUGGUGGGGGUUGGAAAGUUUCGGCGGUUGGGGAUGGACUCGCGGCUUAUCAGCUUGUUGGUGGGGUAGUGGCUUACCAAGGCUUUGACGGGUAGCCGGCCUGAGAGGGUGACCGGCCACAUUGGGAAUGAGAUACGGCCCAGACUCCUACGGGAGGCAGCAGUGGGGAAUAUUGCACAAUGGGCGGAAGCCUGAUGCAGCAACGCCGCGUGCGGGAUGACGGCCUUCGGGUUGUAAACCGCUUUCGCCUGUGACGAAGCGUGAGUGACGGUAAUGGGUAAAGAAGCACCGGCUAACUACGUG